GGGGGCGCGGAGGGAUACCGCCCCGGGACAAUCACGGCCGCCACGUGCGGGAGGCGCCGGCCGGGCGCGGUGGCGUUGCAGGGGAUGGCUGAGCCUCGGACCUCGGGUUCGCGGAGUGGGUGGAUCCCGCGUCGCUCUCAGCACCCCAGGAACAUUGGUGGCAGAGACGACUUGAAGCCCCGCGGCCGGGCUGCGACGCGCUUUUCUCUUUUAUCCGCUGCCCGGGAUGCGGAAUCUUGAGGUGUCGGAUUGCAGAGUUGCCCUGGUGACGGGAUGCGGAGCGUUUCCUCUUCUUUGUGGUGGGGGCGGCUGGUGGCAGGGUCGCCCACGGUAAUCUCCAAGUCCCUAAGGGCACCCUCUUUCCUGGACCCCUUUCGCGCCUCGGCCAUAAAGGCAGCCCCGCAGGCGCACUCCGGAAACCUGAAAUCAGAGCUGGCGUCCGUGGCGCUCAGGAACCUUGUUGAGCUUCGCCGAUCUUUCAUUGUUGCCUCAUUUGGGUACCCGGGGCCUCGCAUUCUGUGGAUUGUUUGCCUGGAAGAGCCCCCUUAAAGUUGCUAAUCACGUGUGUGGUUAAAUGGCUCGUAAAUUCCGAACAAAACAAAUAGCAACCUGUGUUAACUGUUUCUUGGUAACUGGGAAAGUUACUGGUGGCUUGAAGUAUACGCAGAAAAUGCAAAGAUUAAAAACUAGGGAAGAGUUUACUGAAUGAACAUCAUAACAUUGCUGCUCUGCAGGGUAAAAUAAUUUCGGGACCCAGAUCUGGGAAAUAUUUGUAUUAACAAAGGUAAAAGGUGGGUAGAGUGCCUGAGAAGCUAUUCGUAUCAUCUUUGGUAGCCUGUGGACACUAGGACUAGACGUGGAAUUAGGAGUUCCCCAACAACUUCAAUUUUAGGUUAAAAGAAACCAUCUGCCACUUAAGGGAAAGAGAGCACCAGAACGUCCAUAAGUAGAUGUUCACCUUUAAAGUCACCGUGUAAAGUCACGAUUUGUAAGAGGAUUAAGGAAUGUAUCUCUAGAAAAGACAAGAACGUUGCUUUAAAAAGUCUUCAAUUGGCUCUGAAAUUUUAUAUUUUUUCUGCUGACUCCUUUGCAAUGUUCAGCUACUGGAGAGAGAAAAAAAAAAGUACAGUAAAAGAACCCCAGGUCAGAGACCUAUCAGACAGAGACUGUGUAUUUUCUCAUGUUCUAAAGAUAUGGAAUACCUGUGUGGUAUAAAAUGUGAGCCCAAAAUUGUUGUUUUUUUUUUUGUACAUGUGUGUCCCACCUGAUUUAAUUACACUUAAUUGUUUUUGUUUAUGACUCUGCCUUUUGUGGUGGGUGUUGAUCACUUUAGUCCUUUGAUCAUGGCCUUGUAUUAUCUUAAAAGUUAAUAGAUUUUUACACAGGUAUGCUAUGUGAGAAUUCAUCAAGUUGUACAUUUAUGCUUGUGCUCUUCAUUUUAAGUAUAAUUCAACAAAUUGAAAUAGUACACAAAAAGGUAGUGAUAGAAGAAAUAAAGUGAUGAUAAUGAA